GCCAGAGUGGUGUAGUGGUUUGAGUGUUAGACUAUGCCUCUGGAGAUCAGGGUUUGAAUCCUGGCUCAGCCA